rnacentral:lncRNA from 1 species
UUUUUUUUUUGUCUUUCUGCCAUUUCUUGGGCCGCUCCUGCGGCAUAUGGAGGUUCCCAGGCUAGGGGUUCAAUCGGAGCUGUAGCCGCCGGCCUAUACCAGAGCCACAGCAACGCGGGAUCUGAGCCGCGUCUGCAACCUACACCACAGCUCACAGCAACACCGGAUCGUUAACCCACUGAGCAAGGGCAGGGACCGAACCCGCAACCUCAUGGUUCCUAGUUGGAUUCGUUAACCACUGCGCCAUGACGGGAACUCCUCAAAACAGUUUUUAAGUGCCUAUUCUGUUUGAUGGUCCACUAUGACUGCUUUGUAUGAAGGCAUAUGGAGAGCUGCUCUGGGCCAGGGGCUUUUAAGAUUUUAUUUAACUUUCUUAAUCUUGCAACAAACUUUGAGUUAUGUCUAAUCACUCCCAUUUUACAAAAGAGUUACCUGAGUCUCAAAGAUGUUAAAGCAGAGAAGAAUUUGAAUUCAGAUAAAACCCUCUGGCUCAAAGUCCGUUUUACUGUUGCUUAGUCAGUGAUUUUCAAACUUUAUUGGCAGAAAACCAGCUUUUAAAAAUCAUACAUUGCUAAGUGAAUUCUUUUACUAGUAUAAAUAUAAGUUAUGUCCCUAACUUUUUAAACAGUUACAGUUAGAAAAUAUUUGUCAUAAAGUCAAUCAAUGAAAAUAAUGGCUAUAGCGCUAAACAUAAAAAUUUGAAAUAAGAGGUCAUGGAUGAUAGUCACAGUUAUACUGGUCUCAGAGCCUGGCUUAUUUCUGCUUUUCUUUUUGUUGCAUAGUGUUUGGAAAAUCCUGCAUCACCCAGCUGUAAAUUAUAAUAGAUUUUUAACAGGUCACCUUGUAAACCAGGCUAUUCCUCAACUAAGGUCAUACAGAAUCUUGACUGACAUGAGUGGGAAUUAAAUUCUAUUAAAUUCUAUUUUAUUACCACAAUUAUUUGUCAAGCCCCUUCUAUACGGUAGGCACAGUGUUGGAUGCCAGAAAUUCCAUGGUGCAUAUGACAGGCGUAGUUCUUGGCCUCAAGAUAAGUGCUUUGAAAGGAGAAGUCCUAGGUCAGAAACAUUCACUGGAGUGGAACAUUUACACAGAUGGAUUUUUCCCCGUAGAUAUAAAUGUAUAGGGUCUAAUUAACCUCUCAUGGAAAGAUUUUUCCCAGUUGAAUAUAUUCUCACAGGUCAUGGAUUCUGGGCAUCAGGCAUAGACUGACUGGAAUCCUUGAGAGACUAAAACCAAGAUUUUCUCCACCUACCCUCCUUCACUCACUCACCACUGAAUCUCUACUAUGGUUUUGGUUACUUGGGUGGUGGGAUAGUUACUUUAAGGGCUGGGAACCGUUCCUUUUCUAGCCUAAGUAUGAGCUCAGAGUUGGAAUAACUUGAGGUUCCUCUGAACUUUUUGGACUCUUUCAAAAUUAUGCUGCAAUUUAUGAAGCACCGAAGGAACUACAUCCAUCCAAGUUAUAGACAGUCUAGGAUGAAGCUGCUAAAGAAACACGAACUCCUGUAGGUAUCAAGAACUGAAUAGCUGGCUGGCACUGAGCAGCAUAAAAAAAUUGGAGAGAGUGAACUCUAGAUGUUUUAAAUUUUUUAAAAAAUUCAUAGGGCAGGAGAAUCUGAUUGCAUACUUUAUUUUCUUAUUUACUUUAUUUUCUU